GAAGUAGAAAUAGGCAGUGUACUGCUCUGAGGGUAAAUUCAGGUCCCUCCCUCAAAUAAGAAGCCAAAUCUGAGCUGCAGCUGACAGUCAGCAGCCUCGCAAACUUGGAGAAGACAUCUUUUCUCCAUGCAGUUCCCUCUGGAGCAAACAACAUGAAGACAAAAACUUGACCUUAAGGAGACAAACAGUAAGAGUGAAAAGAAAACAUAUGAUCUUCAAUAAGAAUGUUAUCCUGUGACUCAUCAGCUCAUUCCUCAAACUGAUGAAGUAGACUCCUUAAGAGAUUGCAAAGAAUUUACUUCCAUAGACAGUGGCCAAGGAAGACAGUCCUGGUACAUUCCUUAA
rnacentral:lncRNA from 1 species